UUUUUCCCCCCCGGAAAACUAGCAUAUCAAUAAGCGGAGGAAAAGAAACCAACAGGGAUUGCCUCAGUAACGGCGAGUGAAGCGGCAACAGCUCAAAUUUGAAAUCUGGCCGCAAGGUCCGAGUUGUAAUUUGUAGAGGAUGCUUUUGGCGAGGUGACUUCCGAGUUCCCUGGAACGGGACGCCAUAGAGGGUGAGAGCCCCGUACGGUCGUGCCACCGAGCCUCUGUAAAGCUCCUUCGACGAGUCGAGUAGUUUGGGAAUGCUGCUCUAAAUGGGAGGUGUACGUCUUCUAAAGCUAAAUACCGGCCAGAGACCGAUAGCGCACAAGUAGAGUGAUCGAAAGAUGAAAAGCACUUUGAAAAGAGGGUUAAAAAGUACGUGAAAUUGUUGAAAGGGAAGCAUUCAUGACCAGACUUGGGCUUGGUUGAACAUCCGGCGUUCUCGCCGGUGCACUCUGCCAGCUCAGGCCAGCAUCAGUUUGCCCCGGGGGACAAAGGCGGCGGGAAUGUGGCUCCCUACGGGGAGUGUUAUAGCCCGUCGUGUAAUGCCCUGGGGUGGACUGAGGUUCGCGCUUCGGCACGGAUGCUGGCGUAAUGGUCAUCAAUGACCCGUCUUGAAACACGGACCAAGGAGUCGUCUUCGUAUGCGAGUGUUCGGGUGUCAAACCCCUACGCGUAAUGAAAGUGAACGUAGGUGAGAGCUUCGGCGCAUCACCGACCGAUCCUGAUGUUCUCGGAUGGAUUUGAGUAAGAGCAUACGGGGCCGGACCCGAAAGAAGGUGAACUAUGCCUGUAUAGGGUGAAGCCAGAGGAAACUCUGGUGGAGGCUCGCAGCGGUUCUGACGUGCAAAUCGAUCGUCAAAUAUGGGCAUGGGGGCGAAAGACUAAUCGAACUUCAAAGG
rnacentral:rRNA from 1 species